GGCCGACUAGCUCAGUUGGUUAGAGCGUGGUGCUAAUAUCUGGAUUAUUACGCCAAGGUCGUCGGUUCGAUCCCGGCGUUGGCCA